AUGAUUCCAGGCGUCACCACCUUGGCUUUCUUUAUGCUUUGGGCUGCAGGCGUUUCUCAGUCUGUGCUGAUCACUCAGUGGCCCCACUACAUCUCCAGUCUUCCAGAUGUGUCGGCAGAAAUGCACUGCUUCCAGAACGACACAGAUUAUGAAUAUCUGUACUGGUACCGACAGCAGAGUGGAGGAGCUUUUCAGUUAAUAGGGUAUAUACUAGUUGGGACGGCAACUUAUGAAGAGGGAUUCAAAUCUGGUUAUGAGGCAGCGAGGUCGCAGGAGAAGCAGUGGUCUCUGACGAUAGCCAGCGUUCAGAAGGAAGACGAGGCUGUUUAUCUGUGUGCAGCCAGUCUACACAGUGCUCUGGGAGGAGGCUCCUACACUGAUCCUGCUUACUUUGGCCAAGGAACCAAACUGACUGUUUUAGAAAAAGAUCUUAACGUCACCGUACCGACAGUCAGAGUGCUUCCACCUUCAACAAAGGAGUGUCAAAACCAGAAGGACAACCAGAAGAAGAAGACCAUUGUUUGUGUGGCCAGUGGAUUCUACCCUGAUCAUGUCGGUGUGGUCUGGAAGAUCGACGGGGAGAAUGUCACCACCGGUGUGGCGACCGACAACGCUGCCCUCCGAGAAGGCAAGUUUUACACAAUCACCAGCAGGCUGAGGGUCUCUGCCAGAGAAUGGUUCACAAAAGGCCUAGAGUUCACCUGCUCCGUCAGCUUCUUCGACGGGACAAAUACUGAACUUCAUGAAGGAUCAAUUCAUGGGGUAGAAGGUAAAGGAGGAACCCUGACAAGAGAGAAAUAUCUGAGGGUCACACAGAGCGCCAAACUCUCCUACGGUGUUUUCAUCGUCAAGAGCAGCAUCUAUGGAGCCUUUGUGGCGUUUUUGGUGUGGAAGCUUCAGAGUUCAGCUGGGAAGCGGAACGACUGAGAGCUGAGCUGAAGCCUGAACAGACCAUCUUUAUCUCGGUUUCUGUAAAUAGAGUUCAUAGUUAUGUUUCCACAGCUUUGUGUGUCACAGUGUAUUUGCAUUCAUAUAUAAAUGAGCCAAUCAAAUGACAUCAGAGAUUUAUUCCUAUUGCAAUAUUAAAUCUAUUGCUGGCAUGGAAGUAUAUUAGAUGUAAACUAUUUUACAAACACGUCUACUGUACGUUUGUGCUUGUGAAUUAUUUCAUGGUUGAUUUCCUUCUCAAUAAAAGUAGAUCACAUGAUCUAACAGAU